rnacentral:rRNA from 1 species
UUCAAUGUGUAGCCUACUUUAAAGAUGUCCUUUUCUCUUGGAAGCUAAGCAAGACCGGGCCUGGUUAGUACUUGGAUGGGAGACCACUGGAAAUAGCAGGUGCACAUUGGCA